UUAAGUUCAGCGGGUAUUCCUACCUGAUCCGAGGUCAACCUUGUGGAAAGGGGGGGUUUCACGGCCAGUGCCCGCAGCCGACGCCCGGAGCGAAUAUCGCUACUGCGCUCGGUGUGACUGCGAGCCCGCCACUGCUUUUCGGGGCCUGCGGCAGCCGCAGGGUCCCAACGCAAGCCCGGGGGCUUGAUGGUUGAAAUGACGCUCGAACAGGCAUGUCCGCCAGAAUACUGGCGGGCGCAAUGUGCGUUCAAAGAUUCGAUGACUCACUGAAAUCUGCAAUUCGCAUUACUUAUCGCAUUUCGCUGCGUUCUUCAUCGAUGCCAGAACCAAGAGAUCCGUUGUUGAAAGUUUUGACUUAUUGUCUUUGUUACUCAGAGAGGCCCAAAAAUACAGAGUUUAGCAUGCUGCCGGCGGGAGGAAGCCCCCCGUGGGGGGGCCGCCCCCCGCCGAGGCAACGGCGUAGGGUUCGUUCGCAAUGGUGUAGGGUCUUGCGACUCUAUAAUGAUCCCUCCGCUGGUUCACCAACGGGGACCUUGUUACGACUU
rnacentral:misc_RNA from 1 species